rnacentral:rRNA from 1 species
AGAGUUUGAUCAUGGCUCAGAAUCAACGCUGGCGGCGUGCCUAACACAUGCAAGUCGAACGAGAAAGUGGAGCAAUCCAUGAGUAAAGUGGCGACCGGGUGAGUAACACGUGACUAACCUACCUUCGAGUGGGGGAUAACAUCGGGAAACCGAUGCUAAUACCGCAUAACAUCGCAAGAUCAAAGCAGCAAUGCGCUGGAAGAGGGGGUCGCGGCUGAUUAGCUAGUUGGCGGGGUAACGGCCCACCAAGGCGAAGAUCGGUAGCCGGCCUGAGAGGGCGCACGGCCACACUGGAACUGAAACACGGUCCAGACUCCUACGGGAGGCAGCAGUGGGGAAUUUUGCGCAAUGGGGGAAACCCUGACGCAGCAACGCCGCGUGGAGGAUGAAGCCCCUUGGGGCGUAAACUCCCUUCGACCAAGACGAUAAUGACGGUACUGGUGGAAGAAGCACCGGCUAACUCUGUGCCAGCAGCCGCGGUAAUACAGAGGGUGCGAGCGUUGUUCGGAAUUAUUGGGCGUAAAGGGUGCGUAGGCGGUGCCACAAGUCACUUGUGGAAUCCCCAGGCUUAACCUGGGGCCUGCAGGCGAAACUGUGGUGCUGGAGUAUGGGAGAGGUGCGUGGAAUUCCCGGUGUAGCGGUGAAACGCGUAGAUAUCGGGAGGAACACCUGUGGCGAAAGCGGCGCACUGGACCAUAACUGACGCUGAUGCACGAAAGCUAGGGGAGCAAACAGGAUUAGAUACCCUAGUAGUCC